rnacentral:lncRNA from 1 species
UGGGUCUUUAUUUCAAUAUAUAAACAUUACAACUAUAACAUCGAUUUUAUUCUGGUUAUUAUUCAAAUAUUGAACAAAGCAAAAUGUGGGUUUGUAUUUUUUUUUUUUUUUCACUGUCUUCGCAACCGUUACUACAAAUAGAUGAUAGCCCCAUGUGUUAUUGUAUCUUUUAGUUUACUCAUUCAUUUUAUUGGUCACUUG